GGGCGCUGUAUCAACGACAGUGCACCAGCAGAAGAAGACGAAAUCUCCAGAAUUAUUUUCCGUGUUUUUCCGCUAUUUGUUGUAUUAAAAAUCGGCGUCCUGGUUUUCCCUGGCUGUUCAAACAGAUCUUCUCAAAAACACAGAGCCAGUGGGUUUGACAAACGGUGGCUGAACCAAUUUACCUGCUCAGGCAAACUGAGGAAGGUGAAGACACUUCUGCACAGCAGACUGAAGGAGAGGCACUGGGAUGAUGUUGUAAGGAGGCCAUGAUGGACCAGGACCAGGACCAUCGAUGGAUCAGACCAGACCAGGACCAGGACCAGGACCAGGACCAGACCAGGAGGCAUUGGACUACCAGGAGCAUGAGGAGGAAAUGGAAAAAUAGGAGGCUGAAAUGUUCUCUGUCUGGUUGUGAGAUUUGUCAGUAAAGAAACCCUACAAAAAGUCAAAAUCUUACCAAGACUACUUGUCUUAUAUCCAGUCGAAAUGUUUUAUUUCUAGUCCAAAAAAAAUCAUUACAUUUAAAAUAAGACAGUCACUUAAAAAGUAACUCGUUCUAGAAAACCAUUUUCACUCAUUUCAGUGAAGAUCUUCUCUUGUUCCA